UCUUCCCUCUUCCCUCUUCCCUCUUCCACCUCCAUUGCCACUGCCACCCCCACCCCUCUCCCCUCCUCCCUUCUUCCCGUCCUUCCUCCUCCUCCCUCUCCCUCCUCCUUUUCUCUCCUUCCACCUCUCCUCCCUUCCUUCCCCUCCGUUCCCCCACCUCUUCCUCAUGAGGGAUAAACUGGCUAGACAGGUUUCUAAGUCCUUGAGAUGGUGUAAUUUGGGUAGCAACAUCGUGGCUAUUGAAGUUUAUAGGGAUGAUCUGUUGCUCUUAUCUCAACAAUUGCUAAAGAGACUGGAGAUGCCGCAGUUGAAUCCAUCCUUCGCUAAGACUUCGUCUAAGUUUGAGGAGUAGUUAAUGCAGGAUACCAGUGUGGCAUUAGAACAAGUGAAGGGAAAAAAAAAGCAUGGUCGACCACCUAAAGGAUCUCCAGUUUGAUGCAGGUUGCUUUGUACUCAGAUUAGAGCUGAGAAGCCUAUUUUUUGGAAUAUUGGUCAAGGCAUGAUUGAUUUUUGGAGAGACAAAUGGGUAUCUGAAGAGCCGCUACAAUAUUUAUGUGGGUUGGAUAACCCUUUUUCUUUAGGGUUGCUGAAUUUAUUCUUCUAGAUGCUUCAUGGAAUUUGACUCGCUUAAGGGAAUGGCUACCUCCGAUUCUAGUUGCUGCAGUAUAAGACAUUCUGCCGAAGUUGUCUGAGAAUGAUCAGCUUGUUUGGAAUUUAUCAGAUGAUGGGAAUUUCUCAUUUUCCUCGGCUUAUGAUGCUGUAAGGAUGAGAAGGAGUGUAUCCAUGGUUUCCGAGAUUAUUUGGAACCCAUUAAACCCUUUGAAGAUGUCCUUUUUGGCUUGGAGAGUUUUUCAUAAGGUUUUGCCCACGGAUGAUGUGUUAGCAUCUAGAGGAUUUUAUUUGGUCUCUAAAUGUGGCUCUUGCGAAUCUUGUGAAACUUUAAGACAUAUAUUCUUUGAAGGUGAGUUGGUUCUUCAAGGAUGGCAGCAUUAUUCAAGGUUAGUUGGGAUGGAGUUCUAUGGGGUUACUUGUAUUUCAUCGGCUCUUUAGGUAUUGGUGUUUUUCAUUGAAACCUGGUAAAUCAGAUCAUGUAUGUUGUUUGAUUCCAAUUGUCAUUCUUUGGUUUUUGUGGAUUGUCGAGAAUGAAUGUGGAUAUCAGGAAUUAGCCUUUUUUGUCCCA